rnacentral:rRNA from 1 species
UACAGAGGGUGCAAGCGUUAAUCGGAAUUACUGGGCGUAAAGGGCGCGUAGGUGGUUGAUAAAGUCAGAUGUGAAACCCCUGGGCUUAACCUAGGAAUUGCAUUUGAAACUUAUCGACUAGAGUUUGGGAGAGGGAAGUGGAAUUUCAGGUGUAGCGGUGAAAUGCGUAGAUAUCUGAAGGAACAUCAGUGGCGAAGGCGACUUCCUGGCCCGAUACUGACACUGAGGCGCGAAAGCGUGGGUAGCGAACAGG